rnacentral:rRNA from 1 species
AUUGAACGCUGGCGGCAGGCCUAACACAUGCAAGUCGAGCGGCAGCAGAAAGUAGGUUUCUUCUUUCCGGGGGAGCGGGGGGCGGGUGUGUAAUGUAUGGGAAACUGCCUGUUUGAGGGGGAUAUCAACUGGAAACGCUUACUAUAAUCGCACAUACUCGCAAGGGGAAAGAGCGGGGGAUCUUGGGCUCUUGCCCUCAUGUGUGCCCAGAUGUGGGAUUAGCUAGUUGGGGGGGUAAGGGCUCACCGAGGCGACGAUCCGUAGCUGGUCUGAGAGGAUGAUCAGCCACACUGGAACUGAGACACGGUCCAGACUCCUACGGGAGGCAGCAGUGGGGAAUAUUGGACAAUGGGCGCAAGCCUGAUGCAGCCAUGCCGCGUGGAUGAAGAAGGCCUUCGGGUUGUAAAGUACUUUCAGCGGGGAGGAAGGGGUGGAGGUUAAUAACCUCAGCAAUUGACGUUACCCGAAGAAGAAGCACCGGCUAACUCCGUG